rnacentral:rRNA from 1 species
UAAGCCAUGCAAGUCGAACGAGUUUAGGCUCGUGGCGUACGGCUCAGUAACACGUGGAUAACCUACCCUUAGGACCGGGAUAACCUUGGGAAACUGAGGACAAUACUGGAUAGGCAAUUUUUCCUGUAAUGGUUUUUUGUUUAAAUGUUUUUUCGCCUAAGGAUGGGUCUGCGGCCGAUUAGGUAGUUGGUUAGGUAAUGGCUUACCAAGCCGUUGAUCGGUACGGGUUGUGAGAGCAAGAGCCCGGAGAUGGAACCUGAGACAAGGUUCCAGGCCCUACGGGGUGCAGCAGGCGCGAAACCUCCGCAAUGUGAGAAAUCGCGACGGGGGGAUCCCAAGUGCCAUUCUUAACGGGAUGGCUUUUCAUUAGUGUAAAAAGCUUUUGGAAUAAGAGCUGGGCAAGACCGGUGCCAGCCGCCGCGGUAACACCGGCAGCUCUAGUGGUAGCAAUUUUUAUUGGGCCUAAAGCGUCCGUAGCCGGUUUAAUAAGUCUCUGGUGAAAUCCUGUAGCUUAACUGUGGGAAUUGCUGGAGAUACUAUUAGACUUGAGACCGGGAGAGGUUAGAGGUACUCCCAGGGUAGAGGUGAAAUUCUGUAAUCCUGGGAGGACCGCCUGUUGCGAAGGCGUCUAACUGGAACGGUUCUGACGGUGAGGGACGAAAGUUAGGGGCGCGAACCGGAUUAGAUACCCGGGUAGUCCUAACUGUAAACGAUGCGGACUUGGUGUUGGGGUGGCUUUGAGCUGCUCCAGUGCCGAAGGGAAGCUGUUAAGUCCGCCGCCUGGGAAGUACGGUCGCAAGACUGAAACUUAAAGGAAUUGGCGGGGGAGCACCACAACGCGUGGAGCCUGCGGUUUAAUUGGAUUCAACGCCGGACAUCUCACCAGAGGCGACAGCUGUAUGAUAGCCAGGUUGAUGACUUUGCUUGACUAGCUGAGAGGAGGUGCAUGGCC